rnacentral:rRNA from 1 species
GACGAACGCUGGCGGCGUGCUUAACACAUGCAAGUCGAACGGAAAGGCCCUGCUUGCAGGGUGCUCGAGUGGCGAACGGGUGAGUAACACGUGGGUGAUCUGCCCCUUACUUUGGGAUAAGCCUGGGAAACUGGGUCUAAUACUGGAUAGGACCAUGCUGUAGGUGGUGUGGUGGAAAGAUUAGUUUCGGUAAGGGAUGAGCUCGCGGCCUAUCAGCUUGUUGGUGGGGUAAUGGCCUACCAAGGCGUCGACGGGUAGCCGGCCUGAGAGGGUGGACGGCCACAUUGGGACUGAGAUGCGGCCCAGAAUCCUACGGGAGGCAGCAGUGGGGAAUAUUGCACAAUGGGAGCAAGCCUGAUGCAGCGACGCCGCGUGGGUGAUGACGGCCUUCGGGUUGUAAACUCCUUUCAGCCAUGACGAAGCCCUUGUGGUGACGGUAGUGGUAGAAGAAGCACCGGCUAACUACGUG